AACGAACGCUGGCGGCAGGCUUAACACAUGCAAGUCGAACGCCCCGCAAGGGGAGUGGCAGACGGGUGAGUAACGCGUGGGAAUCUACCUAGUUCUACGGAACAACAGAGGGAAACUUCUGCUAAUACCGUAUACGCCCUAUGGGGGAAAGAUUUAUCGGAAUUAGAUGAGCCCGCGUAAGGUUAGCUAGUUGGUGAGGUAAUGGCUCACCAAGGCGACGAUCUUUAGCUGGUCUGAGAGGAUGAUCAGCCACACUGGGACUGAGACACGGCCCAGACUCCUACGGGAGGCAGCAGUGGGGAAUAUUGGACAAUGGGCGCAAGCCUGAUCCAGCCAUGCCGCGUGAGUGAUGAAGGCCUUAGGGUUGUAAAGCUCUUUCAGUAGGGAAGAUAAUGACGGUACCUACAGAAGAAGCCCCGGCUAACUUCGUGCCAGCCGCCGCCGUAAAAC
rnacentral:rRNA from 1 species